ACCAUUUUUUGCAGUGGUGGUGUUUGAUAUAUUAAUCACUUUUGGGAGAAGCAGGUAUUUAAGGUAUAAAACUGAAAUCUUUGUAGUCUUUUUAAGUGUUUCAUUUUCUUGGGGUGAUGACUUUUUUAAAGUCAAUGUACUCUUGGCAGACUCAGAAAAAUCUAAAUAUUUAUCACAUAGUCUAUAUAGGUUUCUUUGGAGUGUACAUUUUUUUUGUUCAUAAAGUACAGAAUGGAGCUAAUCCUAAAUACUGUGGUUAGCAUAAAUAUGUGGGCUUGUCUUUACUUCAGAGUGAACUCAGGUGUUGCCCCAAAUUCAGGUCCUGGCCACACACAAAAACCAUUAAAUUUUGAAUGUGGUGGUGCUUUUAACUCAAACUAGGUCGCAGCUCGAAUUAACACAGUUCAAUAGCACAACUCCUUAGCUGCUCUCAGAAUCACUCUGCAUACCUCAAAUGUUCAGUUUGUCAGUGUGCCCAUUCACUUGAGUUAGGCCAGCUCAAGUGUAGAUAACCAGACUUAAUGCCAUAGUGAAGACCUAUGCUAAAAAGAUUAUAUCACUCUUUUUUAAAAGUGCAAAAGAAGAUAAACAAACAAAUAUAGUGAAAAACACACAAAAGGUACAAACUAUAUCAUGUGAAUAAAACCACAUGAAUAGUUCUGGGAUUUCUGCAUUUUAGCUAGCCAUUUUAAGAUAUAUGGAUUUUGUCUUCCAUGAGAUGGGGCAGAUAACGUCCACCUUAGACUACCAGUAGAUAAACCAGUUUGGUAACUGAUUAACAUCAAAUUUAUCUCCUGUUAAGCUCUGUCAAUGAAGCAUUCAAAGCACUGACUUUUACCAGUAUCAGGAUUUUCAUAGCUUGUCACUUUUCAAAGAGCAAGAAUAAGCAUAUUUGAGUUCCAGAAACCAACUAUUAAACAUCCAAAAAGCAGUCUAGAUAAUCAGCAUUGGACAGAAUUGAACACUAAUGACAUCAGUGGAUGCUCACAGAGUAUGGCCACUAGCAAAGUGACGUGUUCAAGCGUGUCAUUGAAAGGAACGGAAUGCUACAUAAACCUUCAUGGCCUUUGACUACAGAGUGUAUCAGAAUUGUCUACAUGGGCUUGGCAGAAAAGCCUGAGGGUGAAAAUUGCAUGAAACUUUCAUAUAAUUUGCUUAAUAAAUCAAAGUGGGUUCCCACAAUUUCCCUUUCAAAAAAAAAAAGUCCAAAAAUUGCCCUAUCACUGUAUCAGUUAUAUCCCCGGCAUUCCAUGCAUCCUACCAUCAGUUAAUCAAUAUUCUCAUCCAUCCUGCUGCCCGCACAUUUCUUCACUUUCCUCUUUUCAUACAGUGAAGCAAUUCUCCUUUAUCCAUCUACAUUCUGUUCUGAAAAGGCUUCAUACUCUGCCCAACUCCACGAUAUCUGAGCCCCCAUAAUUAAUCCCCUUAUUCCCUACAAUCCAUCAGUACUCUCUGCCUUUCCCACCUCUACAGUCCACAUGUUCCCUCUACCCCUUCAUCUUUUCUCCUAGAGUCUGGUGCCUGGCUUAUUUUCUCAGCAGUAAUUUUGUGUUGGCCAUUUUUGUUUCUUCCUUCAGGCAAACUUAGAAGUAUGGGGCUGAGGGAAAUGGGCCAGUGACUGAAACUCUCUCUUCCCCAGCCAGCUGCUCAGCUCUCCCUCUCUCCAAGCUCCCUUCGUGUGUCUCAUAGGAGGAAGUCCGAGAGCUGAGGCCCCAAAGGUGCGGGCCCAAAUGUCUACACUGCAGUAAAAAUCCCAAAGACUGAGCCCCACGAGCCCAUGUCAGAUGACCCAGGUUCUGAGGCUACAGGUUUUUUAUCAGAGUGUUGGCAUACACCGAAAGUCUUACAUGUGAGGCAAGUUGAAAAUUAGGACUGUUCAGUUAAGAGGAGAUGAGCAAGUAGACACGAUAUGAAUAUUUAAUAGUGAGUGGAGGGGUACAUUAUUCUCAUAAUACAUGAACAAGGAAACAUCCAAUGAAACUGAAAGGCAAUCAAUUUAAAACUGAUUCAAAUAAAUAUUUUUAAUACAUUGUGAAUAUUUGCAUGUGGAACUCGGUGCCCCAAGAUAUGAUUGAGACCAAGAUGUCUGCAAAAUUCAAAAAAGCAUUAUACAUUUCUACAUAAAAUGAGAAUAUCUGCAGUUAUGACAGAUAGGUUAAAAAAUAACAGAUAUGAACUUCUGACAGAUAUGAAAUAACAGACAUGGACCACUAACAUGGUGAAGAAGAAGCUUUAUCUUUGGACAGAUUAUUCCAUAGUUGUCCAUUGCAGAGUUUCUUGAAGCUUCCUGUGAAACAUCUGGGUACUGACCACUGGCAGAGACAGGAAAACGGACUUGGUGGGCAAUAACUCCGAUUUGCUAGGGAAUUUCCGGUGUUCCUGUUAAGAGUACAAUUCCAGGAAAGUUUACACGGAUUAAUCUGAGCAACUCCAAUUUAAAGAAACACUAUCAAAUUUGAAUUUGUAUACUAUUUUUUAAAUCAAACUUCUGAUAGAGUACGAUUUCAAUGGUAAAAUCUCUUUUUUAAAAAUUCUGUUUAAAUAAUUGUGUAAUUUUCCAGCUUUUCUGCAGACAUAUAUAAAGGUCUUUCCAACACUAAAGGGUGGGUGGGCAUGAGAACGACUUCCAGAUGUUCUCAAGCGUUACACUGAACAAAAUAUGGAUGCUUGGAAAAUUCAAUGCAAUAAAAUUUUACUCAGCCACUAGCAUGGGAGGCAUUUUCUCCACCCAUUCCUCUGUUUUGCUAUUCUGCUCUUUGGUGUCGGUGCCAUUUCUAUGAAUAGUGAAUUAUUUCAAUUGGAAUCAAAACUAUAUUCAGACUUCCAGCUCUUGAAGCAAUGCACAAUUUUAAAGAGUACAAUCAUCCAAAAGGCUCUUUUGCUAUCUUCUUCAAGAAAAUGAAUUAGAGCUGUUAACUAGCAGAAUAGACUUCAACUUCUUUUCAGGAGGAUCUACUAUUUUUAAAAAUAUUCUCCAAAAUACUGUGAAUCCCUUCAUCUAAUGCCAAAUUUCCAAGAUGCUCAUGCAGGUGGUGCACAAGUACCUGCUUCAUAUAUGCAGACUACAUUUAUGUAUGCUACAUGUUGAACAGAAUAAAAUACGAUCAGGAGUUGCCCUUCUAGUGAGAGAAGUGGGCUAUGGACUGUUUUAUAGCUUGUUUAUAUAUUUACAAAAGACAUUGUCAAGAAUAGGUCUCAAUUCUGCUUUUGAGUGGCUCCAUGGAGUCUCUCUUGUCAUUGUUUUCUUUUUAUAGGUCUUAAAGUGAUUGUGCCAGUC